GACAGAGGGGGCAAGCGUUGUUCGGAAUUACUGGGCGUAAAGGGCGCGUAGGCGGCCUGCUAAGUCGAACGUGAAAUCCCCGGGCUCAACCCGGGAACUGCGUCCGAUACUGGUUGGCUUGAAUCCGGGAGAGGGAUGCGGAAUUCCAGGUGUAGCGGUGAAAUGCGUAGAUAUCUGGAGGAACACCGGUGGCGAAGGCGGCCUUCUGGACAGUGACUGACGCUGAGACGCGAAAGCGUGGGGAGCAAACAGG
rnacentral:rRNA from 1 species